GAGCAUAUAGCUCAGUGGUAGAGUGCGUGCUUAGCAUGCAUGAGGUCUUGGGUUCAAUCCCCAGUACCUCCA
rnacentral:tRNA from 1 species